rnacentral:rRNA from 1 species
GACGAACGCUGGCGGCGUGCUUAACACAUGCAAGUCGAACGGUAAGGCCCUUCGGGGUACACGAGUGGCGAACGGGUGAGUAACACGUGGGUGAUCUGCCCUGCACUUCGGGAUAAGCCUGGAAACUGGGUCUAAUACCGGAUAGGGCUCCGGACUGCAUGGUCUGGGGUGGAAAGCUUUUGCGGUGUGGGAGGGGACCGCGGCCUAUCAGCUUGUUGGUGGGGGGAGGGCCUACCAAGGCGACGACGGGUAGCCGGCCUGAGAGGGUAACCGGCCAGCCUGGGACUGAGGUGCGGCCCAGACUCCUACGGGGGGCAGCAGUGGGGAAUAUUGCACAAUGGGCGCAAGCCUGAUGCAGCGACGCCGCGUGAGGGAUGACGGCCUUCGGGUUGUAAACCUCUUUCAGCAUCGACGAAGCGAAAGUGACGGUAGGUGCAGAAGAAGGACCGGCUAACUACGUGCCAGCCGCCGCCGUAA